rnacentral:lncRNA from 1 species
UAUAAUAAAAAAUACACGAAGCUAUCUAUUCUUUUAAUAAAUUCAAUCUAGAUAUAUAGAAAAUAAAAUUUCGUAUCGCGUGAACGACGCCGUUACGUGGCGUUUCUUCCAAGAAAUAAAUAAAAAAAAAAAAGAAAAAAACUAAAAAUAAUUUUCCAAUAUAUAUAUAUAUAUAUACAAUAAUACAGUCCUAUAUAAUUCUCGACCAUUUUCAACUUCACCUCACGAUCCAGAAACAACGGAGGAAGGUAGAAUCUCGAUUGCACUCGAGUAUCCCGCAACGAAGACGGACACAUGGAUCCUUGACCAAACGGAAACUCGGCAAGGAUGAAGGCAUUGCGUGAAGUAGGUCGUGUCUGACGCGUUAUCUUCCCCCCCUCCUUCCCCCUCCACUUGCGCGAUAGACACGUACGGCGGAAGGGAGUUGCAACGGCUCGAAGCGAGAUAAAAUAGGAUAAAUAGCGGUGCGGGCAGGCGUGAAGUUAGCAGAGAAGAAUUCAGAUAAAAAUUCGAAGUGAAGACGUUGGCCGAGAUAGUGGAAGUGGAAUAAAUUAUAACGAUUAGCGUCGAGCGUAUAUAAUAUGUAUAUAAUAUAUAUACACAUGCUCGUAUCUUUCGUGUAUUUACGUUCGAAUUGUGUAUCGAUUCUAUUCCACUGUUUCGAACAGUCGGUCGACGCGACGCGGCGAGCUCGGAUAUAAUAGAACGAUCCACCAAUUUCGAGAUUGACUAUUUUUUAAACCCGUAUCAACUGCGUUAAUAAUUAAAAGAAAUCACGCUGUAUUACAAAAUGUGUUCAAUUAAAUCGAUACUUACGAAAAGGGACUUGUUUUUUUCUUUUGAGAGGCAAAUAUACAGCGUCGGCCUCGAAACGUCGCGGCGGUAUCCAAUUAACAACACCGUCAAAAAUUGAUCAGGCGGAGAAUUAUAAAACACGGUUCUAAUUGUGGGCAGCGGAUUUUUCCGCGUGUCACGGCUCGGCUAAAGAAUUUUUAUUCGGCGGAUUUCACGUCAAUUAAGCGGGAGAGGAAGGAUGACAACUCGUUAUAUCGAUGGUCACGGGACGACACUCUCGGACGAGAUGUGCAAAAAGAAGAAAAAAAAAGAAGGUAUGGAAAGGGACGAUUAUUUGUGAAGAUUGGAGAAAAUGAAAAGAGGACAGUACGUAUAUAUAGGCGGAAAUUUUAAUUGAGAGGAUGAGUAAUUGAGAAUCCCAUUGAUGUUAAUAGAUAUAAAAAUUGGGAAUAUUUUUAUCGAUUCGACGAAAGAUAAAGGCUAGGGAAAAAACUUGCGUAAAAAGCCUGCUGAAAAAUUGAAGUUUAUGAACAUUAUAUUUCUUGUUCAAAUUCGCUUUUUGCGUUAUUAUUAACGCAAGAAUGUCUCUUUAUUUCGUAAAUAAUCUGAACGUAUCAAAUGUGAAAAUUUGCAAUAUAUAAAUAUCAAACAAAAUUAAAUAAUCUAAACUAAUAAAGAUUAUAUUAUACAAAUAUAUUUUUUCCAUCGAUUGUUCUCGAUCACUCAAAUAUAAAAAUUACUUAUUCUGAUCCUAAACCCCUGUUAUCCCAUUUCUUUUCAAAAUUCCAAUACGCAUAAAACCUAAGCCCCUGUGCAGUCCUUCUUCCACUUCGCAAACGUCUCCUUAUAUCGUGCACCCUCAUCCUCGAGCAAUUAACGUUUACACCGCGCGGCCCACCCAGUCCUCGUUUCGCUCUCGAAAACUCUUUAAGAACCGUUUCCCACUCCCCUCCCCGCUCCCUGCCGCUCGCUCGCCAGUGCUUUGGACCGGAGGCCCGGUGGAGGGGGAAGAAGAAGCUCGCUCCUUCGUGGACAGCGUGGAACCCGGCCAGAAUCGGUUCAUCGAGUUACUCGUAACGGACCGUCGAAGCACGCUCUGCCAAAAUGUAGACCCGCACCUUUUCCUUUUCCAUUCGAUACGAAGAAAAGCGUAUCAUUCCGGAUUAUUCUUACGACGAAUCGCGUUAACUAAUUCGAAAGAUUAUAUGUCGGCUUAACUUGCUUGUUUUUCUUAAUGUGAUAGUGUUAUUCAAUUUGGUUUCGUGUGCGAUAGUUAAUCAAUUAUUAUUAGUGUCGCGUUUCAAUUCUCGAAGGGAAUAAGAGAGUGGAUAUAUAUAUAAUGUAUCGAGAGAUGAUUGAAAUUUUAAUACGAUAGUAUUAUUCGAAGGAAAUAUUUAAUUAUUCUUCAAACAAUUCUUAAUGAUAUAUAGUAUAGCAUACCACGAUUCAUUUGUCGAUUGUGACUUCAACGGCUCGAUUAAAUUAUCGAUCGAAAUUUCGUGAGAGAAGAGACAUUACACGGUAUAAUAUAAAAUACCGUGGAGUUGGAAGUUGAGCCGCGUGAACGAAUAACGUUUGAUCGAUGAAAGUUGAGUUUCAUUAGGUCGAAGGGUUUAUAAUCGAGACGGAGCCGUUAGAAGUGAGCGCGAUAAAAUCGAUUUUCGCUAAUUAUGGCGAAAAGUUGUAUAGAACUGUUUCGGACAGUUAUUGCAACGUAUUAAAUUUUCCUCGUGCGAAGACGUUCGAUUCGCGCGUAACAAGCGAUGUAAUAGAUUUAUACAAAAUUCAAUUACACGCUAUUACGAUCUACACUAAUCAAUGUCCUAUUAUGACGGAUAAAAUCUGAAAUUUAUUAUUAUUUUAAAUUUAAAUUUUUGACUCGUAAAGAAUCUAUUAGAUUUAAUUAAUUUUUUUUUUUUUUGUUCAAGGAAGACAAUGAUUCGCGCGUAACAAGCGAUGUAAUAGAUUUAUACAAAAUUCAAUUUCUAAGAUUUACGCGCUUAUGAGUUUUUUCAUCAGUCACUAUUAAGUCAAGCAUCAUUUAUGCCGGGAAGAAUCUUUCUUCGCCAUUGCACCGUGAGAGGAGAAGAUAUAUUGCCAGCAUCUAUAAUGCAACCUUGAAUGAAUAACAUAACCUUUAUUGAAUGCUCGACGAGCAUCAAGAUUGGAUUUACGACAAGCUUAAGAUUCAACAUCAGUUUCACCGGAAGAUAUAACGUAUAUAUGCUUAAAUGACGACUUAAUCUCGCUUAAAGAUUACUUGGAAGAGAAAAUAACGUUAUUAUACGAAUCAAUCGUUUGUUUUUAUUCAUUCUGAUUAUAUUGAAAAUUCAAUAAUAUAUAUAUAAUGUAAUGUAUAGGAUGAUACAAUGGAAAAAU